UAGGGAAUAUUGGACAAUGGGGGCAACCCUGAUCCAGCCAUGCCGCGUGAGUGAAGAAGGCCCUCGGGUUGUAAAGCUCUUUUGUCCGGAAAGAAAAGCUUCGGUUAAUACCCCGGGGUUCUGACGGUACCGGAAGAAUAAGCACCGGCUAACUUCGUGCCAGCAGCCGCGGUAAUACGAAGGGUGCAAGCGUUACUCGGAAUUACUGGGCGUAAAGCGUGCGUAGGUGGUUGUUUAAGUCUGAUGUGAAAGCCCUGGGCUCAACCUGGGAAUGGCAUUGGAAACUGGGCAGCUAGAGUGCGGUAGAGGGUAGUGGAAUUCCCGGUGUAGCAGUGAAAUGCGUAGAGAUCGGGAGGAACAUCUGUGGCGAAGGCGACUGCCUGGACCAGCACUGACACUGGGGCACGAAAGCGUGGGGAGCAAACA
rnacentral:rRNA from 1 species